ensembl:lncRNA
CUGGCAAUGUAGAUAGUUUGGAUUUUAUUUAGCUAGGUUCUUACAUGCCUCAACAAUGCAGUGGUUUCCAAAAACAACAUCCCUGCUACUCAGGUUAGACCUCACUGUGAAUAGUUUUCAGUUACGUUCUACAGAAGAAAUUGUGCGUAAAACCUGCUGACAGUGUGUUCUGAAGAAAAUUCCUUUCACCUCUAAUAUACUGAGGAAUCAGCAGAUGUCUCAGACACAGAACAGAACAAGAUGUAAGACAUCAGGAAGGUCAAAACCUUGAUCCGAAUCGAAAGCAGCCGCAGACAGAUGCUUCACCUGAGCCCCGCCGCCAGCUUCUCCAUCGUGGCUUUGCGCUCUUCGGCUUUCUGCUGGGAACGGCGCAAGACGUUCCUCAGCUCCUGAAGGUGGUCCAGCGUGCCCACCAGCUCACCUUUCACAGUCUUCAUCUGGCUCUCCAGCAUCUGUGUGUGAUGGAGGGAGUUCCUCCUGUACCGUCUGCUGGAGCGCACCUUUUCCUCCAGGUCCUCCACUGCAAGGAGCAACCAGAAGACACAGUCACACUACAGCCACCAACAAGAGGGCACACAGGAGAAAUUCUAAUAUGAAGUUAGAAUGUUUUGUGAUACAGACCCAUGUUCUCCUGGUAGCCCAUGCUGUCUGAACUAGACUCUUUCUUCUUGUCCAACAGGUUCUUGGUCUGCUGCAGCAUCUUCUCCAUCUUGGCAAGUUCGGCGGCCUUAGUGUCACUGUCUCUCCGCAUUUUCAGCAACUCCUGCUCCCUCUGAGUCAGCUCACCGUGAAACUUGUCGCUCAUGUCGAGCGUUAGAAAUCUAAACAGCACGACCUGCAAUUUAACAAUGCUUGACGACCUGCUGCACAAAAUUCAGCGACCUCAGUGAGCAUAAGACACAAGGAUGAUGCCUCUAAAUCUGAUUUCAACACCAAAUAAUGCUCCACUCUGGAACAUAGACUUUUUUUUCUGCCUCUGUAGCACAUGAAACGCUGGUUUGUUUGCAAAUGAAGUACACUGCUGGUGAUGUUUGGCUUUUUAUAGGCCAUAAACUCGGCACAUGUCUGGAAGUCAUCUGAAAACAGCCAGCUCUCAGUAUGCACCAUUACAAUUGGCCAGUCAUAAGACCGGCUUCACAAAGCCCUCGAGCAUCGUGGGCAAUUUUUACACUUACUCACGGUGACAAAGUUCUCAGGAAGAGAAGGAGUUAGCCAACUUGUCCCUCUGGAGGAAAAUAAAUGAAACAGCUGUCUUGAGUCACACCUGAGGAAGAACUUGAAAACACACUGUAAAACAAGUUAAUGGAACUAAAAAAAUUGCUGAAACUGACUGACUGAAAUUCUAAGUACAACUUACUCAAUUUUGUAAGUUAAAAAAAUUAUUCUUAAUCAAGUGGAUUUAGUCGUGUAUAUAUAUGUAUAUAUAUAUAUAUAUAUAUAUAUAUAUAUAUAUAUACACACACUAGGUAGAAACAUAUACAAAAUUACUGAUCAGCACCUACCAGGAAACAAUAACAAUAGCAGCUACAGAGCUGAGUCCUAACAACUCUGUCUGUGUAACUGUGGUACAUACCAGUAAAUCAGUAAGUAAGUUGAUGACCUACUUAGAAAGUAAAUGGAGAACUAUUCUGCUCUAUGUGAGGCAUCUUUAUUCCUAUGUGGUAUGCAAACAUCCCAAUGUGUUUUGCUGGCAGACUAUCACAGGAUCAGCACCUUGGACAGCGGCCGCGACACACAAAGGUGAUUGAACUGAGCCGCAGAAGCAGCGCACUCUGAUCUAUAGACGGUGUUGAAGCUCAGCCUUCAUCAUCAGCCUUCAGAUGAAAGGUUUUGUAGCCCUCCAUCUGUGCUCGUCUUUACAGCAAGUUCUCUUGAUUUCAUCAUUAAGCUAGGGCUUGGGUGCACUUUAGGCUUUUCAAACCAAACCAGAGCAAUAUUAUCUAGAAUAUUUACAUAAGUGGAAUUAAAAGGAUCUGAAAUAGGCGAGGUGUUCACUGAGGAGCAGAGCUGGAGGUCAGAAGAGGUCAGGCAGGUGUGGUAGAAUUUACCUGUUGACAAUGAAUGUAUUUAGGUAUUAUUCAUUCAUUGAACUAAAUUAAUAUAUGGUCUAGAAACCCCAAAUAAAGUCACAUUCAUCUAAACUAACUAGUAAUAUUAUGUUAUUUAUAUUAUGGUCUGUUCAGCUAAUUAUAUUUCACUGUGCAUAAGAUAAGAAAUGAGGAUGAUGACAUUUUUUUUUUCUGUUGUGGUGUUGUAUAAUAACUGUAUUUCCCAAAAAAUUCAAGUCAUAACCUCGUUUGUGCUCAAUGCUCUCAAUGUUUCUUAAUGUUCCACAAAAUGUUUGCUAGAGUAAAUAAUAUCUUGUCUCAUGGUCAGGUAUACACGUAUUAAACUCAACACAGUGUAGUUUUAUCUCAUCCCACUGACCAGCAAAAUAGUAGCAUGAGUGUGUAGACAGUGCAUGAUUUAGGUAGCAAAAGAGUAUUAAUGAUUGCUGGUGAAUUAAAGAGAGAGCAAAUGACUCCAGCCAGUACCCACAUCAUCCACAUUCCUAAUUCAGACAUUAAAGGACCAGUGUGUAGGAUUUAGUGGCUUCCCAGACCUUUAAAAGUCCAACAUUUAGGAGGAUCUUUUGGCAGAAAUUGAUUAUAAGAUCUAUAACUAUGUCUUCAUGUGUAUAAUCACCUAAAUAUAGGAUUUUUUCUGUUUUUGUUACCUCAAAAUGAGACGUUUUUAUCUUCAUACACCGCAGGGUCGCCUUCCGUGGGGUCAGCCAUACGGUAGCCCAGGAGGGAUAAACCAAACACUGGCUCUAGAUGCUCUAGGGGUGUUCAAACUUUUCAUGUAGUUUCCCCUCAUGCUUUGAAGGGGAAGGUGAAGCGAGGGAGCCACUAAAUCCUACACACUAAUCCUCUAAAGCUGCAUGUGAACUGUAGUCUGCAUAUGUAAUGCGACAAUAACAAGCACUUUCUAAAUUAUUGAUGUGCAAGCUCCCUUUAUUAAUGACUUAUCAUUUAUACGGCACCGCAAUUUUAUUAAUUACUCAAUGAGUUUACAGCACUGUGUUUUGAAUGUUGGCUGUGGUUUUAUUCACAGUUACAUCACAUUUUCCAUGCGGGCCCAUUGCAAAGUGGUAUUUUCCUGAGGCACACUGAGGUUUUCUUUCUGGCCUCAGCCUGUUUGGUGUUUUGGUGACUGGCCAUGUGUGCACUGCAGUGGGAGGAGAGGAGCAGCAGAGGGAGUGUCACUGGCGAUGUAGCUGUGUACUGCCUGUAAGGUGUCAAGAUUUAUUAACAGAGCGCCAUCACAUCCUGCUGCACCUUGACUGAUGAAAACUGUGGCACCCAUCUACUGUCUCCUCUUUCUUCAGCUCCCCCUCUGUCGUAUGCACAUCUCUCUGGUAUCAAGUAGAGCUAAUCAGCAGCUCCUGAUUGCAGUGAUUAGACAUAAACAUAGGCUGAGCCGUGAUAAAUUAUAAUGUAGUGUAAUGAGAGAUUCACAUUGAAGGCCAUGCUCUAAGUUCCCAACUUCCUGUGCUAUUAUUACUUUGCCACAUGUCCCUGGGUGAAGGUCACUCACCUCCUGGGCUUUCUGUGGCUUCUUUUCUCAUUCCUACAGCGUGACUAGCACUCUGUUCCCUUCCUCCAGGCUGGCCACAUGCACACACAAACAAAAAUCACUUUUAUAUAAAAAAAAAAAAACUAAUCCCAAACCUUAUGAAGCUGUGGAUUAUAUAAUGUAUGUGAGGAGAAUCAGGAUCAGACAGGCUUAGCAUCAACAGUAUAUUUACUGAGUAAGCCAUCACAAGAAAAAUGAUAACCUUCAAUUACUAAUCUGAUAUUGAGACUUCACACACACCCACUGAACCUCUGUUGCAACUUAGCUCAAUUUCAAAAUGAUAAAAUAUUACAUUAUAGGCUAUGUUGCUUAGCCACAGUCACAUUUGUAAUCAUUUGAACAAGAAAGACAUGCCAUCUUAAAACUGAAAAGAAGAAAAAACAAACAUUUAUUAAAUGAUAUGAGCUCUAUUUCAGGAAAAAAAAACACCUCUUCCCUUGGGGUGAUCCAGUUUGAGGAGCAACCCAUAAAAGGCUGCUGUGUUAGACAUUUGAUACACUUAUCUACAAUGAAGCGAUUGUGUUCUAGAAAAUCCCCGUACAUGCACAUGACAAAACCAAAAAAAAAAAGCACACAGCAUUGUUGAUCACAUCUGACCCUGUCCUAGCAGCUCACUGUCCACAAGCAUGACCCUGUGGCUACUGAAAGGUGUGUCCUGUUGUGUUAUGGUGUGUCCUGAAGUCUUCCUGGCAUUCUGGAGCCCCAGCUUCAGGCUUCUGUUUCACACCUCUGCCUGCAGUAUAUCCAUUUGACCACUAGGCGAAGACUAAAACCAGAUUACCAGAAGUUAUUAAAGAUUCAUCUCAGAUUUUUUGCUGAGGUUAAUCCUUUAAUGUUCUACUCAACUGUUUGGUAGAGCACAUUUUGAGUCACUAUUAUCUUAUUGUACUUAAAUCAACCUGACUGACCGAUCUCUACAACUCAGGCUGUUAUGCUAAAGGGACCCACUAGAUGCCGCUGUUUCUUUAAGCAGUCUUCCCAUUUUAGUUUGCCUCCUUACAGGAAGUGUCAAAAGUAAGAUUUCCCCCCCAACAUAUUAUAGGUUCAGAGGUCUUACUAAAAAGAAUAAAAGAAUAAACUUUAAUAGGGGCAAAUCAUUUUCUAAAAACAUGCUAUACAUAAUAUAUAUAACCAAAUGGGUUGUCACUUUAUUGUAAAAGUAAUGAAGCUAGCUAAUUUAAUUAAAAUGGCUCCAAAAUACAAUAUAAUAAUGAUUUUUUUUCACUGUCUAAAAUCAUGCUUGAGUUCCUUUAGUGAUAAAGAUAGUGGUUUUAGAUAAUAAAUGUAUUUUUUUUUAAUAGAUAAAC